rnacentral:rRNA from 1 species
CCCUUCGGGGGUGACGCUUGUGGAAUGAGCGGCGGACGGGUGAGUAACACGUGGGCAACCUGCCUGUAAGACUGGGAUAACCCCGGGAAACCGGGGCUAAUACCGGAUAAUACUUUCUUUUGCAUAAAGGAAAGUUGAAAGGCGGCUUCGGCUGUCACUUACAGAUGGGCCCGCGGCGCAUUAGCUAGUUGGUGAGGUAACGGCUCACCAAGGCGACGAUGCGUAGCCGACCUGAGAGGGUGAUCGGCCACACUGGGACUGAGACACGGCCCAGACUCCUACGGGAGGCAGCAGUAGGGAAUCUUCCGCAAUGGACGAAAGUCUGACGGAGCAACGCCGCGUGAGUGAUGAAGGUUUUCGGAUCGUAAAACUCUGUUGUUAGGGAAGAACAAGUUGGAUAGUAACUGACCCAACCUUGACGGUACCUAACCAGAAAGCCACGGCUAACUACGUGCCAGCAGCCGCGGUAAUACGUAGGUGGCAAGCGUUGUCCGGAAUUAUUGGGCGUAAAGCGCUCGCAGGCGGUCCUUUAAGUCUGAUGUGAAAUCUCGCGGCUCAACCGCGAACGGUCAUUGGAAACUGGAGGACUUGAGUACAGAAGAGGAGAGUGGAAUUCCACGUGUAGCGGUGAAAUGCGUAGAGAUGUGGAGGAACACCAGUGGCGAAGGCGACUCUCUGGUCUGUAACUGACGCUGAGGA